AUUGAACGCUGGCGGAAUGCUUUACACAUGCAAGUCGAGCGGCAGCGCGGGGCAACCUGGCGGCGAGCGGCGAACGGGUGAGUAAUACAUUGGAACGUGCCCAGACGUGGGGGGAUAACUACUCGAAAGAGUGGCUAAUACCGCAUACGAUCUACGGAUGAAAGCGGGGGAUCGCAAGACCUCGCGCGUCUGGAGCGGCUGAUGGCAGAUUAGGUAGUUGGUGGGAUAAAAGCCUACCAAGCCAACGAUCUGUAGCUGGUCUGAGAGGAUGAUCAGCCACACUGGGACUGAGACACGGCCCAGACUCCUACGGGAGGCAGCAGUGGGGAAUUUUGGGACAAUGGGCGAAAGCCUGAUCCAGCCAUUCCGCGUGCAGGAUGAAGGCCUCGGGUUGUAACUGCUUUGUACAGAACGAAAAAGACUCUGGCUAAUACCUGGAGUCCAUGACGGUACUGUAAGAAUAAGCACCGGCUAACUACGU
rnacentral:rRNA from 1 species